rnacentral:rRNA from 1 species
AACGAACGCUGGCGGCAUGCCUAACACAUGCAAGUCGAACGAGACCUUCGGGUCUGGUGGCGCACGGGUGCGUAACGCGUGGGAUCCCGCCCUUAGGUUCGGAAUAACUCCCCGAAAGGGGUGCUAAUAUCGGAUAAUGUCCUCGGACCAAAGAUUUAUCGCUUUUGGAUGGGCCCGCGUAGGAUUAGCUAGUUGGUAGGGUAAAAGCCUACCAAGGCGACGAUCCAUAGCUGGUCUGAGAGGAUGAUCAGCUACACUGGGACUGAGACACGGCCCAGACUCCUACGGGAGGCAGCAGUGGGGAAUAUUGGACAAUGGGCGAAAGCCUGAUCCAGCAAUGCCGCGUGAGUGAUGAAGGCCUUAGGGUUGUAAAGCUCUUUUACCCGGGAUGAUAAUGACGGUACCGGGAGAAUAAGCUCCGGCUAACUCCGUG